CCGCGGUAAAACCGGUUACUCCUACGGGAGGCAGCAGUGGGGAAUAUUGGACAAUGGGCGCAAGCCUGAUCCAGCCAUGCCGCGUGAGUGAUGAAGGCCUUAGGGUUGUAAAGCUCUUUCGCCAGGGACGCGGUACCUGGAUAAGAAGCCCCGGCUAACUUC
rnacentral:rRNA from 1 species